CCCUUAGAGUUUGAUCCUGGCUCAGGACGAACGCUGGCGGCGUGCCUAACACAUGCAAGUCGUGCGGGAACAGAAGACAGUUUACUGACUUCUGCUUCUAGCGGCGGACGGGUGAGUAACGCGUGAACAAUCUACCUACAAGACCGGGAUAACACCGGGAAACUGGUGCUAAUACCUGAUAAUCUCCCUGGGCGGCAUCGUCCGGGGAGGAAAGUCGGCCUCUGAUUUAAGCUGGCACUUGUAGAUGGGUCCACGUCCCAUUAGCUUGUUGGCGGGGUAAUGGCCCACCAAGGCGACGAUGGGUAGCCGGCCUGAGAGGGUGGUCGGCCACACUGGAACUGAGACACGGUCCAGACUCCUACGGGAGGCAGCAGUGGGGAAUCUUCCGCAAUGGGCGCAAGCCUGACGGAGCGACGCCGCGUGAGGGACGAAGGCUUUCGGGUUGUAAACCUCUUUUCUGGGGGAAGAACGUUUUGCACGUUAAUAGCGUGCUUAGUUGACGGUACUCCAGGAAUAAGCCCCGGCUAACUACGUGCCAGCAGCCGCGGUAAUACGUAGGGGGCGAGCGUUGUCCGGAAUCACUGGGCGUAAAGAGCGCGUAGGCGGCUUGAGAAGUCACAGGUGAAAUCCCACGGCUUAACCGUGGAACUGCCUGUGAAACCAUUGGGCUUGAGGACAGGAGAGGGAAGUGGAAUUCCUGGUGUAGCGGUGAAAUGCGUAGAUAU
rnacentral:rRNA from 1 species